CUAAGUGUUUUGAGGUUGCAAACUGACUUUUGCGUUUUGAGAACUAUUUGACUUUCUGAUUUGACUUUCUGGCUUCACAACUGGCCAUCAAACUACAGUCAGUCAUGCAACGGGAGCCUCUGAUGACGACCCUUUCUGCUGGGAACCCUUAAAUAGGCCUCUGAAGGAGCUCUGACUGCGGCUUCCCCCAAAACAGCGCCCCCUGUCAGCAGGAGGCAAUAGUGGAGCUAUUUUUUUCUUUCAUUGUCCAAGUGGAAGAUGUUAAAAAAGAAUCCCUCCAUGUACAGCAAAACUGCAUUUCCCAAGCUCCUCGUCUCUCAAUGGGUCACAUGACUUGUUCUAGCCAAUAGAACAAGGGUGGAAGUAAUGCAACCACUUUCAGCUGGCCCCUAAAGUCUCCUGUGAGAUCUUCCAAUCUUGCUCUCCUCUCUCUGCAUGGCUGGAAGUGCA
rnacentral:lncRNA from 1 species